CUUGGUUAUCAUGGGUAAAAUCAUACAAGUGUUCGGUAAACAGGAAGUAGUCGAGUGAUGAAUCUGAAAACGCAUCACACGGUAUAGCUGACUUAUAUAAAUCCUGAAACCAAAUUUCAGAAAUCCUUGUAUUGUAGUUCCUGAGAAAAAUGUGACGAAAAUUUUCAACUUGGCUAUCAUGUGUAAAAUCAUACAAGUGUUCGGUAAACAGGAAGUUGUUGAGUGAUGAAUUUGAAAACGCAUCACACGGUAUAGCUGACUUAUAUAAAUCCUGAAACCCAAUUUCAGAAAUCCUUGUAAUGUAGUUCCUGAGAAAAAUGUGACGAAAAUUUUCAACUUGGCUAUCAUGUGUAAAAUCAAACAAGUGUUCGGUAAACAGGAAGUUGUCAAGUGAUGAAUCUGAAAACACAUCACACGGUAUGGCUGACAUAUAUAAAUGUUGAUACCAAAUUAC
rnacentral:lncRNA from 1 species